rnacentral:rRNA from 1 species
CCUACGGGUGGCUGCAGUGGGGAAUAUUGGACAAUGGGCGAAAGCCUGAUCCAGCCAUGCCGCGUGUGUGAAGAAGGCCUUCGGGUUGUAAAGCACUUUCAGUGGGGAAGAAAGCCUUGGGGCUAAUACCCUCGAGGAAGGACAUCACCCACAGAAGAAGCACCGGCUAACUCCGUGCCAGCAGCCGCGGUAAUACGGAGGGUGCGAGCGUUAAUCGGAAUUACUGGGCGUAAAGCGCGCGUAGGCGGUCUGAUAAGCCGGUUGUGAAAGCCCGGGGCUCAACCUGGGAACGGCAUCCGGAACUGUCAGGCUAGAGUGCAGGAGAGGAAGGUAGAAUUCCCGGUGUAGCGGUGAAAUGCGUAGAGAUCGGGAGGAAUACCAGUGGCGAAGGCGGCCUUCUGGACUGACACUGACGCUGAGGUGCGAAAGCGUGGGUAGCAAACAGGAUUAGAUACCCGUGUAGUC